UGGCACUCGUGGGCGCUACCCAACCGAGUAUGCAGCGUAUCUCUGUCGAGCUCAAUCAGGCUCCAACUAUCCAAAGUCAAGUAAUCGACUCAAACUGGCCUAACAACCAACAGGUAACGUGCCCUCGGCACAGUCUGACGCCAAAAAGGCGAUACGGGUCCACCGUCAACUCUGACGACACCCAACAGUCCGGAACAAUCUGAACGACCCUGUAAAAAUCCACUCGGCGAACCAGCACGAGUGUAAAUACAUUCUAAACUACCUGGAGUACUCGUCUCGAAGAAACUGAGACAGUACAAUUUUCUGACGGCUCCUAGAGCUAAAUCAGGUAGUUAAAACUGGUGACAGGUCCAAAUCGCAAGUUUUCUCCUAAUUCAAUUUUCAAGUCCAACAUGUAUAAUCUAAUUACUUAAUAAAAUAUGCUCGCAAAUUCAGAUUUUGCAUUCUAAUAAUAAUCCAUGAAUUUGAGCUAAACUAUUGUAGAAAUCACGAUUUAUACAUGUUGACUAAUAAUACUUAGGAGUAAAACCGAUGUAACCCAC
rnacentral:lncRNA from 1 species